GGAGGGAGCCUGGGUCUCCAGACUUCCUAUCCUCCAAACAAGUUUUGCUCACCUAAACUCUAAGCAUGGUCGGCAGAGCUACCCGUUGUCACAAAUAUUGAAAGUCUAGGUUAAAAUAUUUACUUUCUAUAUGUAAGUCUGCAUUUUUGUAUUAAUUUAUUUUACCAGCAUUUUCCUUUUUCUCUCUUUCUUUUCCUUGUCGCUCCCACAUAAUGAAGAAAAAGACAAAAGCAAGAAUGACAUGUAUAUCCCAACAUGCCAAUUAUCUGUGGCUCCCAGGGGAGCUAGAGGAUGGAGGGAGACAGCGGAGAGGAGAAAGGUGAGGGGAAGCAGAAAAGAAAGAUCAGGGACCCCGGGAGACUAAGAGUUGGGCACUGGGCUCCUGCAGUCUUAAGGCACCAAAACCAGGCCACAAGGUGGUAAGAUGAGGCCAGCUUUGGAACCAGACAGAUCUGGGUUCAAAUUCUGACUUUUUAGUUAUGAGACCCUGGGCAAGGCACAAGCUUUCCAAGUGUCAGUUUUCUCAUCUGCAAAGUGGAAGUGUAAAGACAAUGUAUGGAAAAUGCCUGCCAGCUGGUAAGUAGCUGCUGUGGCAGCUUUAGUUUGACUCAGUGGGCUAUUAACAGUAGCUCAGGCGGUAGGAGUACGGUUAGAAUGAGGCUUAGGGGAUGGGGUUACUGUCACUGUGUUCUGGUACACGAGCUGAUCCAGUCCAUGGACUGUGCCCAUAGGCCUUUCUUCAAGGAGAGAGAAUACCAGGUACUGGGCUAAAGGCCAGAGAUAGGAAGAAGGGGGAAAGCUUGAUCUUCUGUCUUCAAGAAUUUCAGAGCUUAGCACAAAGCCAGGCUCCCCGCUAGAAAAACAGCUUAGAGCGUACGCCGGUGGUGGGCUGCCAGCGUGAUCUCUGUUAAGGAAGCAUGAGCACCGGCACUGUGGCUGGAGGAUAAUGAUGCUGGAACUCUAGCUUUUCCCUCCUCCCAGAUCUGUCUUCCCUCACUGCAUCACUCCAGUUUCUUUACCUGAAAUAUUUCCCUUACUUCCUCCCAGUCACGUGUUCUGGGGCAAAUGGGUGGACUGAGUAGGGGUGCGGGGCAACCUGCUUACUACACAGUUGCCAAUAGACGUAUUUCAGGAUGUGUAUUUUUCUUUCUUCUUUCCUCUCUUCCAACAUCUUUGCUAUAUUCUUUUCUUACACAAAUGAACUGGAAAAGGGAGAAUCUUUUGGGAGGCCCCAGGCAAGGGAGAUGAGGAAAGCCAGUACACACAGAGUUGAAAUGGGGCGAGGGGUAGAGACAGGUAAAGAACUAAGUGCCAUUUCCUAUUUCAAUGACAUUUUCCUCAACUUUUCCUGUUCUUCCCCCAUUAACUUGUAGAGGUUUGGGGAACAGAGUGCAGUACAGUCCUGACUGGCCUCCAUUAGGAAGAAUAUCUGAGGUGCUGACCUGGAAAGCUGAUGAAUUAAUUUGCAUGCUAUUUCCACAGCAUAACUGUAGGCUGUUUAGGGUGAAAAGAAAAGGGGAAAAAAAACAAGUUUUUCUAACUCCCGCUCCAGCCUUCACAAACCAUGCCGUGCCGACCCUAGGGAAAUAGCUUUGCCUCCUUCCUUGCCCUCUCCCAGACCCUCUGCCAACAGUAAGCUCUACCUCAUUGCACACAAAAAGCAGCCCCGAAGAAUCUCUCCCCUUUCUAAACCUUACAGGCAAGAGGACCCAGCCCCAUUCUGCAACUCUCAAAGCUCAGCUACAGCCCCUCCCCUUGACACUCCCUCCCCUUGCUGGGUUCGUUCUUUUUUCUGCUUUCUUCCUACCUCCGAGUCUCCCAACAACAGCAGCCAAUCCCCAGGCUGCUCUAGAGCCACACCAUAUAUGGAGAGGUUGAAAAGAAACCCGAGUAAAUGUGGGAGCGAACACACCACACACACACACACACACACACACACACACACAAUAACACACACACACGCUAACAGUUUUUGAGCGCCUCUCUGCACGUGACCCUGUGUCUAUUUGUCUGUGUGUUUGACACAAGUCCCACCAUUCCCUGCCCCUGGCUCACCCCACCCAAGAACGAGGAACCUGUUUGCUGUUCCCGGCCUUUAUUCAUGCCCCCUGAGACCAUCAAUCCAACCAGUUGCCUCUGACCUAGAUUCUCUGCACUAAUUACAAUCCUAACGAGAUCUAACAAACAUACAACUUAGCACAGCUGAGACCCUCGAGGUCAAUUAGUACAGCCCAGCUCAGCUCAGGAAAUGGGAGAUGGAGCCAGAAACUCUUGUACUUGCCUCACCCCGGCUCAGGCCCCAACCCCAGCCUGGGCUUGAAAGCAGGCUUGAGGAGAAUGCAAAAAUUAGCAAAACCAGCUUAAAAAUAAGAUCUUGGAGAGUUAACGAGCAUGGAGAGAACUGCGUUAAGGUUGGGGAGAAUUGGAGAAUACAGAUUCCCUGCUUUUCCUAAGUUAUCAGGAGGGAGAGGCUGAUGCAGCUACAGAAAGGAGGGACAUAGGCAGUUUUCAUUUUCGUAAAGACAAUACGGAGAAGAGUAACUUAGAGAAGAGCAGGUAACAUAGAACUCUUGAUCUGCAUCACAGCCUCCGACUUAUUCCCUCCUCCUCUUUGCUUUCUCCUUUGGACAAGUUGGAUUUAUCUCCCCUGUCUUUCCUGCUGGUUUGGAAUAGCUCUGAAAUCACCUCUUUCUUUCAAAAAUACUAGACUCAACCUCAUUCUUGCUUUUCCUCUUCCAUAUAGUAAAACCAUGACAGCAAACAGCCCCUUCCUCCUAAGAAACACAGAAAAAUCUAAAAUAAGGGUAACCAGUUUUGGGUUGACAAAGUGUUGUCGGACAUUUGGGGAUGAUGCCUAAACUGUCUUCUAGAUGAAGAAUGAGAGAAAACGGCCACAAGUGGUAACAAUGGGAAUGCAGUUGCUUUUGCAAAUUUGUCCUACCUGGCAGCAAAUGCAGCGCAACAAAAAGAAGAUUGAGCAGGGCAAUGUGGCUCGUUCCCCGCUUUACUGGGUUCCUUUCUUUAGGUGGCAAAACAAGGCAGUGGAAUGGUUGCCUGUCCUGUAUCCUCUGCGUGCAGACCAGUUGUCCUAACCUCAUCCCUAACGCCUGUGGCUCUAUCAAGGAGGGAGGUGGAAGGAGAGGGCUAGUGGAAUCCUCUACACCCCAGUGGGGAAGUGGACUUGGAGCCACUGCAAGAGCAGAAUGUCCUUCAUCCCCCAGCAUUUAUCCAGCCUCGUUCAGAGCGCUGCACCCUGCUGGCACCCUGCUGGCACCCUGACUCCUCCACAGUCCACUGCCGCAGCAACCAGGAACCUGCAGGGCAGGAUGAUUCACAUAGCAUCAUGUCUGUAUGUUGAUGAUUCCCAAUUUCCUUCCCUGGCCUAACCCGGCUCUGGGAUCAAGGCGCUUACAGCUAAGUACCUAUUUGGCAUCUUUACUUGGGUGUCUAACAGGCCUCUUUUUUUUUUUUUUUCUUGUGAUGAGAACUCUUAGGAUCUAUUAACUUCUUUUAAUACAAUUUUAAAGGUUAUACUCCAUUCACAGUUAUAACAAAAUAUUGGCUAUAUUUCCCAUGUUGUACAAUACAUCCUUGAGCUGUCUUACACCCAAUAGUUUGUACCUCCCACUCCCCCACUCCUAUAUCCCCCCCUCCACUGGUAACCACUACUUUGUUCUCUAUAUCUGUGAGUCUGCUGCUUUUUUUGUUAUAUUCUCUAGUUUGUUAUAUUUUUUCAGAUUCCACAUAUAAGUGAUAUCAUACAGUAUUUAUCUUUCUCUGUCUGACUUAUUUCACUUAGCAUAAUGCCUUCCAAGUCCAUCCAUGUUGCUGCAAAUGGCAAAAUUUUAUUCUUUUUUAUGGCUGAAUAGUAUUCCAUUUUAACAGGCACCUUAAAUUUAAGUGUGGUAGAUCCUUAAAUAAUGGCCCUCAAUGAAUCAACCUCCAUCCAUGCUCUUGUAUUGUGAGUUUACUUCUCCUCCCACUCAAGAGGCAUUGCUAUUUCUCCAAGUGCUGUCUGAAUCUGGGUUUGCCUUGUGACUUGCUUUGACCAGUAGAACGUGCAAUUGUGUAGGUUCCAGAGUUUAGGCCCUAAGAGGUCUCACAGUGUCCUCUCUGGCCCUCUUAAAAUUUAGCUGCAAGUAAGAAACCUGGCCGAGCAUCUUUGGGAUAUGAGACCAUGUGGAGAAAGAGGCAUUGAAACCGCGCGAAACCAUCCCAAACAUCCGAGCCUCUGGGCAAACGCAAGCUAAAUGCAGCACAACAUGCAAGACCAAAGACCAACCAUCCAGUCAGCCCACAGAAUUGUGAGAAAUUAAUAAAUCAUUGUUGUCUU
rnacentral:lncRNA from 1 species